rnacentral:rRNA from 1 species
AUUGAACGCUGGCUGCAGGCCUAACACAUGCAAGUCGAGCGGUAGCACAGAGAGCUUGCUCUCGGGUGACGAGCGGCGGACGGGUGAGUAAUGUCUGGGAAACUGCCUGAUGGAGGGGGAUAACUACUGGAAACGGUAGCUAAUACCGCAUAACGUCGCAAGACCAAAGUGGGGGACCUUCGGGCCUCAUGCCAUCAGAUGUGCCCAGAUGGGAUUAGCUAGUAGGUGGGGUAAUGGCUCACCUAGGCGACGAUCCCUAGCUGGUCUGAGAGGAUGACCAGCCACACUGGAACUGAGACACGGUCCAGACUCCUACGGGAGGCAGCAGUGGGGAAUAUUGCACAAUGGGCGCAAGCCUGAUGCAGCCAUGCCGCGUGUGUGAAGAAGGCCUUCGGGUUGUAAAGCACUUUCAGCGGGGAGGAAGGCGUUAAGGUUAAUAACCUUGGCGAUUGACGUUACCCGCAGAAGAAGCACCGGCUAACUCCGUGCCAGCAGCCGCGGUAAUACGGAGGGUGCAAGCGUUAAUCGGAAUUACUGGGCGUAAAGCGCACGCAGGCGGUCUGUCAAGUCGGAUGUGAAAUCCCCGGGCUCAACCUGGGAACUGCAUUCGAAACUGGCAGGCUAGAGUCUUGUAGAGGGGGGUAGAAUUCCAGGUGUAGCGGUGAAAUGCGUAGAGAUCUGGAGGAAUACCGGUGGCGAAGGCGGCCCCCUGGACAAAGACUGACGCUCAGGUGCGAAAGCGUGGGGAGCAAACAGGAUUAGAUACCCUGGUAGUCCACGCCGUAAACGAUGUCGAUUUGGAGGUUGUGCCCUUGAGGCGUGGCUUCCGGAGCUAACGCGUUAAAUCGACCGCCUGGGGAGUACGGCCGCAAGGUUAAAACUCAAAUGAAUUGACGGGGGCCCGCACAAGCGGUGGAGCAUGUGGUUUAAUUCGAUGCAACGCGAAGAACCUUACCUGGUCUUGACAUCCACAGAACUUUCCAGAGAUGGAUUGGUGCCUUCGGGAACUGUGAGACAGGUGCUGCAUGGCUGUCGUCAGCUCGUGUUGUGAAAUGUUGGGUUAAGUCCCGCAACGAGCGCAACCCUUAUCCUUUGUUGCCAGCGGUUAGGCCGGGAACUCAAAGGAGACUGCCAGUGAUAAACUGGAGGAAGGUGGGGAUGACGUCAAGUCAUCAUGGCCCUUACGACCAGGGCUACACACGUGCUACAAUGGCAUAUACAAAGAGAAGCGACCUCGCGAGAGCAAGCGGACCUCAUAAAGUAUGUCGUAGUCCGGAUUGGAGUCUGCAACUCGACUCCAUGAAGUCGGAAUCGCUAGUAAUCGUAGAUCAGAAUGCUACGGUGAAUACGUUCCCGAGCCU